rnacentral:misc_RNA from 1 species
GUUCGAGCGUCAUUACAACCCUCAAGCUCUGCUUGGUAUUAGGUUCUACCCGCUAUGGGCAGGCCGCAAAAUCAGUGGCGGUGCCAUUUGGCUUCAAGCGUAGUAAAUAUUCCGCUGAGGAGUCCUUUUGAGCACCUGCUAUAAAACCCCAAUUUUUAAAGGUUGACCUCGGAUCAGGUAGGGAUACCCGCUGAACUUAA